AGGGCCACAAUUCUUCAUCAUCACCAUCAGAGGGCUAUGUGACUGUGCACUUCAACCAGACGAAAACUGCGAGAAGCUACACAUUUUUGAUUUUGUUCGAUAUGAUUUCCUGUAUUCUGGUGCAUUUUGGGGAUGGCCACUACCUACAAAAUCUUCCAGAUUCAUAACCUAUGCACGGCAGGAGUGGCUAUUGGAGUGGAAUUGUGCGGUUUGACAAACAGGCCGCUAAAGAGAGAGGCCAACGGUGAGAUAUGCCAAAUACCAACCGAGAGGAGAUGUUGGAGGACUCCAUCCACUCAAACAUGGAGAUAGAUGGCUACCCGGACUGCCAUGAAUUUGUGUGGAGCUGCCUGGCCAAGCAACCUCAGGAACGUCUGCCCCUGGAUUGCCUGCUGGGCCAACCCUUGAUUGCAGUAAAGCAGACUGAUGAACCUCUGGACAUCACUGAGCUCAACGUUGCACUCCCUGGUGAAAAUGAAAUGUACCAAGUAUACUUAAUCUCAAUAUACUUAAUGUACUUACAGCACCCUUAAGUGUACUUCACACAUACUAAGUACACUUAAUUUCUAAGAUCAAGUUCACUUAAAAAGUGUGAAUAAUAUUUUGCUAGAAAUACACUUACAAAGCACACCAACCACAUAUUUCAAGAGCACUAUUAUAAAAGGUAUAAGACAAUAUUUCAAAUGCACUGAAGGAGUACUUGUCAUGUUGUCAGAUUAUAUAGAUUAAAUAUCAACAGCACCUUGAAUACAAGUGUUUUUAAAGUUUUGUUUAAGCAUUAUUGAAGUGUAUGUAAAAUAUAUACAGUACCCCCCCCCCUCAAUGGGCGCCUCCAGGCGACCCACCAGGUCUAUCAGGGUGCUCCUCACGGAAAUCUCGGACCAAGGAUGCAAUAACACUUUAUCGGAAAUAUAUUCAAAAUAAACUUUAAGGGAGAUCAGUUAAGUAUACUUGUAAGAAGUAUGAUGAAAGCAUACUUCAAGUAUUACAGCAGUAGCAUACUUAUCAUUAUUAGCCUAUAUUACAGUUGCACUUGAUGACAUCCUGAGCGAAAUACACUUCAUCGGAAAUAUAUUCUAAAUAAACUUUUGAAAAAGA